rnacentral:rRNA from 1 species
UACGUAGGGUGCGAGCGUUAAUCGGAAUUACUGGGCGUAAAGCGUGCGCAGGCGGCUUUGCAAGACAGAUGUGAAAUCCCCGGGCUCAACCUGGGAACUGCAUUUGUGACUGCAAGGCUAGAGUACGGCAGAGGGGGAUGGAAUUCCGCGUGUAGCAGUGAAAUGCGUAGAUAUGCGGAGGAACACCAAUGGCGAAGGCAAUCCC